CACAGCUCUAGGGUAAUUUUUGCCAGGUGUCAAUCUCACAGCCUCCCUCAUCAAAUCAUUGCUGGACAAAAUGACAAAAAGUUUACUUCUUAUGGCCAAUGUUUUGAAUUGUUUUUCCCUCCUCUUCUGUUCUGUUUGGGCCAAAUACAUUGAGUCCAACACAAUCCAGCCCAGCAAAGCCCAAUCCAUGAAAGAAGAAAGGCUUCACGCCAAACAAAAAACCAGAGAAGCAAGAAUACCUUCCUUGAGCUGUACCUUUCACGUAUUGCAGAUUUUACAGGCUAGAAUCCAAAAACCUCAAUUAGGUUGGAAUCAAUUUCAAAUUUCAAAUUCUCCCUCUCUUCAAUAUCAUAACUCACUUUCUUUCUCAUGGAUUUCAAUUCUUCAGCUCUCUCUCAUCCUCUCCGAUAUCUUCACCACCACCAACACCUUCGCCGCCGUCACUUUCAUCGCCCUCCAUUGGCUUCUUCAAAUAGAAAGAGACUGCUACUCAUGAAUUUGAGGAAAAAGAGAUUUUGUUGAUUUUCAAAGUUGGAAGGCAGACAAACAGGGGUUACACAAUUUAAGAAGAGUUUAAACACUGUGAACUCUGGCGGUGAAGAGUGACAAACAGGGAGUCUUUAAAUAGUCACCAAUAGUAUGAAUUCAAGACACUAAAUUUAAGUUAAUGCCUUAGACUCAAUGAAAUGUGUGGCUGCUGUAAAAAGGAAAGGAGAAGUGCAAGAAGACGAUAUUUACAUUAAGUUUCUCACUUCCUUUUCAUUGAUGAAGAAAGAGGUGAGUGAAGAUCCAUUCAUCUUGCUUCUUGCAAAGGGCGAGUAACGAGAAUGAAGUUGGAAAGUUGCUAUUAACUAUUAUUGAGAGAAUGUAGCAAGGUUAGCAAUGCCAUGAUGAAGGAGUGGCUUGCCAUGUUUUCCCUUAGCAUUCUGAUUUACAAGGUUAGUCCUUCUCUUCACUCCAUUUUUUUUCUUAACUGAACAUGAACCUUAAGUGUCUCAUUCUUAGAAGGCUUUGUUGGUUCACUAUCCCUUUAAAUAUGUCAAGCCAUAACAAUUUGGUUUAUAAUAUAAAUUAGGAAGGUACUUAAUUGAACAUGAACCUUAGAAGUCUCAUUCUUAGAAUUUUAUCUGAUUCAUCCAAAAAAAUUAUUGUGAUAUGAAAAUGUUCAUAUUUCCAUCUUUUGUUGUUGUGUUUAUGGGUCUUUAUUCUUCUCUUAGGAAUACAAUGAAGUAGAAGAGAAUGAGAGAGUGAAUAGUGCUUAGUGAACGAUAGAUCUCAAUAGUCACAUUUUUUUUCUUUAGGUAUUGUUUUCAGUUUAUUAGUUCUUGGUUUCAGUAAAUAAAUCUCAUGUUACUUAAAUGCAUUAGUCACCUAUUGUCUUUUUGUUCUAUUUGGUUUUUAUUUUUGUUUAUGAUUAUAUAUACACACAUGUUCCCUCUUCAAUUCAAAAUUCAAAUUUGUUCAAUUACCUCUUUCCCUUCUAUAUCUCACCGAGUUAAAUAUUGGAUGGCCUAUGUGAGGUUCGAAUUCCUUCUCUUGCAAAAUUUCAGCUCAUUGUGUCUAAUUUAAUGUUUCCUUUUACUUUGUAAAUUUGUAAACCUGAUUUUGUUUCUAAAACUUUUGCGAGGUUCAACAGUUGUUGAUGUCUUUCAAGAUCUAUUGGUUAAAAUGUAUUCAAGCUGAAGGGAAAUAUGGGAAUAGCUUUCAAUAUCAACAAGCUUGAAAUUUAUUAUUUUGUUCAUCUUGACAACGGGACUGCGACCUUAAAGAGUGAUUUUAGGUAACACAUGAAGUAUGAGAUUAAAUACGUCAGGACUUUAUAUCCAAUACCAAGUAAUUAGUGCACAUAAUGUGCCAUUCUCUUGAUAUGGUACCAUUCUCCAACUACAAGGAAACUCUAGAGUUUGUGGAAGAUUAGCUAAAGCCUGAGUGCAACUAGGAUAGAGUUAUCUCAAUUUCUAUUGUAUCGUGUACUAUUAAAAGUAUGUACACUAUCGUGUACUAUUAAAAGUAUGUACACUGCAUUUUUUAUUUGUAUAUUGUCUCAACUUAUAUAUUAAUUACAUAGAGAUUAAGCACAUUCUAUUGGUGUUGUCUUAUUUUUCACCCUUUCCUUUAUAGUGCACGAUUCAAAAGCACCCAAUAAAGUUUAAUCAAUGGAGAGCUU